rnacentral:rRNA from 1 species
GACGAACGCUGGCGGCGUGCCUAAUACAUGCAAGUAGAACGCUGAAGGAGGAGCUUGCUUCUCCGGAUGAGUUGCGAACGGGUGAGUAACGCGUAGGUAACCUGCCUGGUAGCGGGGGAUAACUAUUGGAAACGAUAGCUAAUACCGCAUAACAGUAGAUGUUGCAUGACAUUUGCUUAAAAGGUGCAAUUGCAUCACUACCAGAUGGACCUGCGUUGUAUUAGCUAGUUGGUGAGGUAACGGCUCACCAAGGCGACGAUACAUAGCCGACCUGAGAGGGUGAUCGGCCACACUGGGACUGAGACACGGCCCAGACUCCUACGGGAGGCAGCAGUAGGGAAUCUUCGGCAAUGGACGGAAGUCUGACCGAGCAACGUCGCGUGAGUGAAGAAGGUUUUCGGAUCGUAAAGCUCUGUUGUAAGAGAAGAACGAGUGUGAGAGUGGAAAGUUCACACUGUGACGGUAUCUUACCAGAAAGGGACGGCUAACUACGUG